rnacentral:tRNA from 1 species
GCGGACGUGGCGGAAUUGGUAGACGCGCUAGAUUUAGGUUCUAGUGUCUUUGACGUAAGAGUUCGAGUCUCUUCGUCCGCA